UACGGGGGGGGCAAGCGUUGUUCGGAAUUACUGGGCGUAAAGGGCUCGUAGGUGGCCAACUAAGUCAGACGUGAAAUCCCUCGGCUUAACCGGGGAACUGCGUCUGAUACUGGAUGGCUUGAGGUCGGGAGAGGGAUGCGGAAUUCCAGGUGUAGCGGUGAAAUGCGUAGAUAUCUGGAGGAACACCGGUGGCGAAGGCGGCAUCCUGGACCGGUAUUGACGCUGAGGCGCGAAAGCUAGGGGAGCAAACGGG
rnacentral:rRNA from 1 species